AUUUAAGUUACUGCGGCACAUAGUGGAUACCUUGGCACUACAAGUCGAUGAAGGACGUGAUUGGCUGCGAUAAGCCUCGGGGAGCUGUCAAAAUAGCUUUGAUCCGGGGAUCUCCGAAUGGGGAAACCUGGCCGGGUAAAGCCCGGUCGUGCCUAACGACAACCCGCUGAACUGAAACAUCUAAGUAAGCGGAGGAAGAGAAAGUAAUAACGAUUUCGGGAGUAGUGGCGAGCGAAACCGAAACAGCCCAAACCUUGUUGAUUUAUCUUCAAGGGGUAGCGGGACCGCGACGUGAGACCGGAUAGUCUAGCUAAAGUACUCUGGAAAGAGUCGCCAUAGAAGGUGAUAGCCCUGUAAGCGAAAGAUUAAAUGGCUCUAGCGGUAUCCCAAGUACUGCGGGACACGAGGAAUCCUGUAGGAAUCCGGGAGGACCAUCUCCUAAGGCUAAAUACUCUGUAGUGACCGAUAGUGAACAAGUACCGUGAGAGAAAGGUGAAAAGAACCCAGGAAUGUGAGUGAAAUAGAACGUGAAACUGUGUGCCUACAAGCAGUCGGAGUCCCGAGCAAUCGGGAUGACGGCAUGCCUAUUGAAGAAUGAGCCGGGGACUUACAGUUACAUGCAAGCUUAGGGUGUUGAGCCCGAGGCGUAGCGAAAGCGAGUCUUAAU
rnacentral:rRNA from 1 species